AUUGAACGCUGGCGGAAUGCUUUACACAUGCAAGUCGAACGGUAGAGGGGGCAACCCCUCGAGAGUGGCUAACGGGUGAGUAAUAUAUCGGAACGUGCCCAGUCGUGAGGGAUAACGUAGCGAAAGUUACGCUAAUACCGCAUACGAUCUAAGGAUGAAAGCGGGGGAUCGCAAGACCUCGCGCGAUUGGAGCGGCCGAUAGCAGAUUAGGUAGUUGGUGGGGUAAAGGCUCACCGAGCCAACGAUCUGUAGCUGGUCUGAGAGGACGACCAGCCACACGGAAACUGAGACACGGUCCAGACUGCUACGGGAGGCAGCAGUGGGGAAUUUUGGACAAUGGACGCAAGUCUGAUCCAGCCAUUCCGCGUGCAGGAUGAAGGCCCUCGAGUUGUAAACUGCUUUUGUACGGAACGAAAAGGUCUCUCUUAAUACGGGGGGCUCAUGACGGUACCGUAAGAAUAAGCACCGGCUAACUACGUGCCAGCAGCCGCGGUAA
rnacentral:rRNA from 1 species